AUUGAACGCUGGCGGCAUGCCUUACACAUGCAAGUCGAACGGUAACAGGUCUUCGGAUGCUGACGAGUGGCGAACGGGUGAGUAAUACAUCGGAACGUGCCUAGUAGUGGGGGAUAACUACUCGAUAGAGUGGCUAAUACCGCAUGAGAUCUACGGAUGAAAGCAGGGGAUCGGAAGACCUUGAGCUACUAGAGCGGCCGAUGGCAGAUUAGGUCGUUGGUGGGAUAAAAGCUUACCAAGCCGACGAUCUGUAGCUGGUCUGAGAGGACGAUCAGCCACACUGGGACUGAGACACGGCCCAGACUCCUACGGGAGGCAGCAGUGGGGAAUUUUGGACAAUGGGCGAAAGCCUGAUCCAGCAAUGCCGCGUGCAGGAUGAAGGCCUUCGGGUUGUAAACUGCUUUUGUACGGAACGAAAAGCCCCGGGUUAAUACCCUGGGGUCAUGACGGUACCGUAAGAAUAAGCACCGGCUAACUACGUGCCAGCCGCCGCAGUAA
rnacentral:rRNA from 1 species